rnacentral:lncRNA from 1 species
CCUGAGGUAGCAGUAAUUCUUUGUUCCAGACUCAAAUAUAUGGCCGGCCCCUCGAGAAGUGCCUGAACCAUAAUGAUAAUGCUUAGUGGGAAAAUGUGCUGGAAACAACCUGUGAAAAGGCAAAGAAUGAAACAGAGAGAGCCAGGAACUCAGCACAGGAAGAACCUCGCUUGUUGACUUUGCCUGCUGCACCUUGAAAAGCCCUGAGUCUCUGACUGCUGAUCCUGGACUUUUAGAGCUGGAAGAGAGAUUUGAGAUGACUGAGCCAAUCCUGUCCCUCUUUAGGUGAGAGCAAUGCAGUCAAAGAGGAGAAUAGAAUUGACUUGUUGAACAUCGUACCAGAAAGUGCUCCACAUUUCCUCAUCUCUUCUUUGAUGACUAGAAGCUGUCUUCAGGAUGGUUUAGGAGAGAAUUUCACAAAAAUAAACAGACAAUCUGUUCCUUCAAGAUAAAGGUGAUGUUUUAACAAUGCAUGAGAAAGUCAUUGGUUUUCAAAAGAGUCUUGUCUGAUGGCGAGAGCAUUUUUGAAAAUAGAUGGUCAGAAAUCUGUCCAACGUUAUGUGAUUUUGUUGCUAAAAAUGACGUGUAUCAGUUAUAAAAACCUCAUAUCUGCACACUUAACUUUGAAACUGAAAUUUCCAACUCCCUUCAGAAAUCUUCCAAAUGGAGAGUUUGCGUUUGCAAUGUAUUGAGGAAUUCUAGGGAGGACGGUGGUGCAGACCUGGCUCAUCUAAGGCAGGCGAGCUAACGCAAGGGAGAGAGCAGGCACGGGGCGAGACGGCAAGCCUGUGCUCCUCGGCCACGCUUUCGGGGCCCGGGAAGAAUCCAUCCACAUCUUCAUUGUUUUCCCUGAUACCACGAGUUGGCCUUCUCAGGAUGCCCAGACUGAUCUCUUUGUCAGCUGCCAACUGAUUUGUUUACCCCAAGAAUGUGCCUGCAGGAUUCACUAGUCCCAGGCUGCCAGCUGGGUUCUCCUCUCUUCCCUCUCAUGCCUCCUGUUUGUAAUUUUGUUUCAUGACAACAGUCCAUUGACCUUUCUGCCUCAUGUCUGAGUAAAUAAAUUGCGUG